CGGGGCUAAUACCGGAUAAGACCACGUCACCCAGGUGGCGCGGUAAAAGGUUGCUUUAUUUUCGAAUGAGGCUAUCACUUGGGGAUGAGUCCAUGGCCUAUCAGCUUGUUGGUGAGGUAACGGCUCACCAAGGCUAUGACGGGUAGCUGGUCUGAGAGGACGACCAGCCACACUGGGACUGAGACACGGCCCAGACUCCUACGGGAGGCAGCAGUGGGGAAUAUUGGGCAAUGGGCGAAAGCCUGACCCAGCGACGCCGUGUGGGUGAUGAAGGCCUUCGGGUUGUAAAGCCCUGUUGGGUGGAAAGAAGGGCUCAGAGGCGAAUAACCUUUGAGCCUUGACGGUACCACCAGAGAAAGCACCGGCUAACUCCGUGCCAGCAGCCGCGGUAA
rnacentral:rRNA from 1 species